rnacentral:rRNA from 1 species
UUGAACGCUGGCGGCAGGCCUAACACAUGCAAGUCGAGCGGCAGCGCGGGGCAACCUGGCGGCGAGCGGCGAACGGGUGAGUAACGCGUAGGAAUCUACCCAGUAGCGGGGGAUAGCCCGGGGAAACUCGGAUUAAUACCGCAUACGCACUAAGGGGGAAAGCAGGGGAUCGUAAGACCUUGCACUAUUGGAAGAGCCUGCGUUGGAUUAGCUAGUUGGUAGGGUAAAGGCCUACCAAGGCGACGAUCCAUAGCUGGUCUGAGAGGAUGAUCAGCCACACCGGAACUGAGACACGGUCCGGACUCCUACGGGAGGCAGCAGUGGGGAAUAUUGGACAAUGGGGGCAACCCUGAUCCAGCCAUGCCGCGUGUGUGAAGAAGGCCUUCGGGUUGUAAAGCACUUUAAGUGGGGAGAAAGGCUCGGCAGCUAAUAUCUGCCGGGAUUGAUGCUACCCACAGAAUAAGCACCGGCUAACUCUGUGCCAGCAGCCGCAGUAACAC